GAGCGUGUAGCUCAAGUGGUAGAGCGUGUGCUUAGCGUGCAGGAGGUCCUGGGUUCAAUCCCCGGUACUUCCU
rfam:Camelus ferus unplaced genomic scaffold scaffold688, whole genome shotgun sequence.